rnacentral:lncRNA from 1 species
GCUAGAAAUGAAGGCUGGAGGGGAUAAUUUGGAGGCCUUCCUAAAAUGGGGAGACUAAUAGAGGGCUUGCUAGAGUGCGUUUUUUUUAACUUGGCUCUCUAAACUUGAGGUAACGGGCUGUUUGGAGGGUUGGCUGGAGUUGAUGAAGAUGAAACUUGUCGGAAAUAAUUAGCCAUUUUACUUUAGAUUUUUAUAUUGAGUCGUGGAGAUAGAUUUGGUUACACCUGUUCUAGAGCCACAAAAAAUAUACAUUGCCGUAUCAUCUGGCUUCGAAAAUUC